GUGCAGGAUGGGGAUAACCCACGACCCAAGAAAAAGAAGAAAAUCAUGAAGAAGAAAACCAAAAGAAAAGCUUUCAAGAAACGUAACUAGACCUGAGGACAGCAUGUCAGAGGAUGUUACCAGCAGCUAAUUGUUAUAAAGUCUCUGUAAACAUUGUAAUAAAGAAACCAUUCCUCAUGACCUGUAUCCUACAGUGAA